UGGGGAAUCUUGCGCAAUGGUCGGAAGACUGACGCAGCGACGCCGCGUGUGGGAGGACGCCUUUCGGGGUGUAAACCACUGUUGCCCGGGACGAACUCGCUGAUUGGUCAGCGUUGACGGUACCGGGUGAGGACGCACCGGCUAACUCCGUGCCAGCAGCCGCGGUAAUACGGAGGGUGCGAGCGUUGUCCGGAAUCAUUGGGCGUAGAGGGCGCGUAGGUGGCCCGGUCAGUCUUUGGUGAAAGCGCGGGGCUCAACCCUGCGUCGGCCAGGGAUACUGCCGCGGCUGGAGCACUGUAGAGGCAGGCGGAAUUCCGGGUGUAGCGGUGGAAUGCGUAGAGAUCCGGAAGAACACCGGUGGCGAAGGCGGCCUGCUGGGCAGUUGCUGACACUGAGGCGCGACAGCGUGGGGAGCAAAC
rnacentral:rRNA from 1 species